GCAGAUCUCAGAUGAGCAGUCUCUACUCAGAGCGGAAGAGAAAGUGGAGGUGUUGAAGCUGCAGGCUUAAUAUUUUAUUGGAAUAACAGCUCUAUUCAUAUAUGGUAAUGGAUGCUAUCAACACAAAAACAUCUGAAGACCUAUCAGAGUGUGGUGUACAUAGAAAACAGUGAAGGAAACCUCUGGUGUCCCUGUUGUUCUCCACCCGAAGAGCUCAAUCAUGGAAUCUCUUGUAAUACAAAGCCAAACCCUAUUGACUCCUUCACAAUUAACAAAGGAUCUUGAUCUGGCAGUGAGCACAAAGAAGAUAAUGAAACAAACCUCAAGUGUGUCCUUUGCUCUCCACCUAAGAACAUCCAGCAUGGAAAAACUUAGAAACCUGAGCCAAGACCAGCUGUAUGCUGUUUACUCCUUCACCACUGGCACAGGUGACCUCACAAGAGACUGGAGGAUUCUGUGAUUACACUCAAGCAGUAUUCAAGAUAAAAUGAAGAUACUGUAGUUUUGAAAAAUAUUGCUAGUUUGUUAUACACUUUUAAUUUUCAGCUUUUCAUCAUGCAAAAUUACAAUUAUAAUCUGAAAGAUGUGUAGUUUUUAGUUGGAUACUAUGGUGUAACAGUUUUUAGCACUGCUGUAAUGUGGAUUUAGCAUCCUGGAUUUGAAUCCUAUGCCUGGUCAUUGCCUGUAUGAUGUCUGCAAUUUUUCUUUGUGUCUAUAUGGGUUGUCUAUGCUGCUGCUUCAAGUUCCAACUAUGUUGGUAAAACUUAUGCAGAGUUGGUUACCUGGUGCCUCAAAACAUAUAUGUGUGUUUGUUUGUGUGUGUGGAUGUGCGUGCACAGUACUGUUGUGGUUGUAAUUAUUUUUUGUCAUUUUACAUAUUUAACAUUGUAAUUUUAUUUUUAUAAAAAGUAAAUACUUUAUAUUUCUUAUAUACAAGUUUAUAUUUCUUUACUUUGUUUCUUUUAUAAUCAACUCAAAUGUGGUAAACAAGGUAAAAAAAAUACACACAUGUGCUUUAUAUUGGGACAGGUGUGUUCAGAAUGGCAGACUACUGGGGCUUGAAUAGCAGACGUGACAUCUCAGGGUUUGAAGACUUUGCCCCAUGCCAUAUUAACUCAAAUGUUUGAAGAGUAUUUCUGCCAAUGUGCUCUGAGUAUAGCAUUUUCACCGAAAUGGUCCAUUCAGCUGCUGUUUUCAUGCACGGUACAAUUUCUUUUCAUUUUGCUUCUGGAACAGCCCAUUCCUUAGUGUCACUUUAGCUGUUUGUUUGUUAAUUUUUUAAGUAAUUUUUGUGAUGUGUCCCUAGUGACAGACAUUUGGUACAUAGACAUCUCUCACUUCAUUAUUUGGUUCAGAAAGUGAUUCCUUAAAUCACCAGUUCUGUGUAAACUCUAAUACAGAGCUCAGCAUUAAACAGGUGGGAAAUGCUGCAGGGACAAUUUGAAAGAAAAGAAGUGAGAUUAAAAAGUUAUCUGAAUUCUGAAAUGAAAAUAUUUCAGAUGCACUGUAUGUACUUGAAUUAUCCUAUGUUUGUAUUCAUCUGCUGUUACACACUGAGUAUUUUAAAGCUGCAAUUAAGCAGAAGGUGUUCAGAACUUAAUUUGAAAACAUCAGUUGAAAAGCAAGUACUUGCAAUGGGUUGGAUUCCUGAACGGGUUACCAACGGUACUAUGAAUUAUUGUGAUGUAACCAACAUGAAGUACCCAGAAUGGUGAAUUCCUUUAUGUAUUAUUUAUUUAUUUAUUUUUCCUGUUUUUCCUUUUACAACAAUGUAAAUUUUAGCUAAAAUAAAUACUUUACUAUUGCACGAGAA